AUCGCUUCUGCCUUUUCAAGUUCAAAGAUAUCCUUGUGUACGGCGUCUUUUGCUGAAGUCAAAGUGAGCGGACUUGGGAAGGGAAGGAAGGAAUCGCUCCGUAAACUGCCAAACAGCGAAGCGUCGAUCCAGGCAAACCCUUGUGCGCCCUGGAAAUGCUGAAGAGUGACACGGUGACACCCCAUGCGGUGCAACACAGACCCAACUUUGCCCUCUGCUGUAUCCAGAGACCUCUACCGGCCGUUUGAAGACUACAAAGCAGGCGCCCUGGGUUUGCUGGCUUGGUGUGGUGUUUUAUUUACGAGCAUCUGCAGCAGACCAUGAAGAUACAGCAGGAAUGCGCAUCAGAAUCCCUGGCGGCCUCUGAGCGUCACCGGGAAUUUACUGGACCUGCUGUUUGUGGAAUUCUGAAAGGUCAGAAAGUCAGAAGGUCAGAGGUCGCAUCCACCCAGACAGUAGAGACAGAGGCCCUGCUGGGGAGGGGACACAAGGCAAGACGAGGCUGCAUGACCCCGUCACAUAAGAAGCUCCUAUUUUCAAGGGUGGAAAGAGAGCUCAAACACUGCUCAAAUACUGCUACCUUGCUGAAACAUUACUUAAGCAGAAGUAAAAUGUCUGAUGUAGAAAUCUACUCAAGUAUAUGUCAAAAAAUGUCAU